UGUCCGUGUGCCUAAUUUUUCCUGGUUGUGAGACAAGAACCCAGAUUUAGCUGAACUAAGGAGCAAAAAAUCUUGCAUCAUUUUUGUGGCCUGUAUGGGGACAUGAGGGAGGGAACCCAGACCUCAACGAAAGGGAUUUACUGGCAUGCAGACUUCAAAUAAGGGGGAACUGAGGACUGGACUCUGAUCUCCGUUCUUUCUUCUGAAUUUCUUCCUGAGGAACCUGGAGGAAGUCACACCCACGAGCCAGAGUGAACAUUCUUUUCCAUUGUCCCCAAAUAUUGACCUGAAAGCCUCCAUGUCAAGAUAUCCAGUCUUUUUAGGCCAAACCAAUGUAUAACCUCUGUGUAUUGAUUUAUGAUUUUGCCUGUAACUCCUGCUUUUCUGAAGUUUUCCCCUGCCUUUAAAAACGCUUGCUUGCAAGUCAUCGAGGAGGUCAGAUUUUAAUUGUGGGCUGCCCUAUUCUCCUUGCUUGUUGCCUUGUAAAUAAAUGCCCUCCUUUCUCCCGCUGAAAACUUCAGUGUAGAUGUUUGGCCUUGCUGCCCCAGGCAAGCAAACCCCUGUUUGUCUUGGUUACACAAGACAGAGAAGAGAAUUCAUAAAGUAGGUAUGAAGGCAACUUGGUAAUGCUUGUACCAUAUUAACUUGUACCCUGAGCCUAUUCAGCAAGACUGUUAAACAAAUUACAGAAUAAAGUUGAUAUAAACAUGUACACCCAGGAAAAUAUCUCAAAGAUAUAUUUUUAAGUAACAAAAAUAUAAAAUAGAUGCAGAAGAAUGUGAAUAGUAAUAUCCCAUAUAUGUAUUUUUAUAGAAAGUCAUAUUUUUUCUCUAAAAGAAGAUAGAGAGGAUUGCAGGGAGGAUAAUGACAAAGAAAAAGAUAAAAAGGGGGAAACUUUUCUACCCUUGGCUCCUACAAAGUUGGAGCUUGCACUGUGUUUACACAACACAGGGUUUACUGCUUCUGCUUUAAGUACCAAUAAAAAUAAAAUUUGAUCAAGCCCUCCAUAGAUUGAAUACUAGGCACCAUUCCCUCUAAUCUUAUUCAGUGAUUCUUUCCAAGCCUUGGGUAGUGUGUUCUUACAUGAAUCUGCUGACCAGUAAUUAGCAGAAUACUUGAGGGAGACCCUCUGCUGAUCUCCAAGGUUCUUUCUCUGUGCAGCUCUCUUGUCUCCGAUAUGUUUUUUGAAGAACAAUAACCGUGUUGGUCUUUAUAGAUUGUCAUCUCCAUUCCAGAGAGCCUCCAGAGCCAUGCCAUGCCUGGAUUCUCCCUCCACAUGGUAUGCUGUGGCCAGGAAAGUCUCUCCAGGGGAUAAACUCUGGAAAUCCUAGAUUUCCCCUUGUUUGUUUCCAGUCUCUCAGGAAUAGUUGUUCUUUGUUUCCUGAUGUCUGUGUCUUCCAACUAUUGUCCGUUUUUGGUUGUUUCACGUGAGAGGGUGAAUCCAGUCCCUCUUAUUCCACUUAAGUGACUCUGAAGUUUUAAAAAUAAAACUAGCAGGCACAUGUAUUCAAUAAAAUUCCAAACAAAAUGCAAAAAAAAAGUCAAAUCAAACACAUAUGUCUUCCUUCUCAUCCAGGAGGCUUUUGAAAUGACAGAAAAAAAAAAAAAAGAUACAUCUCCAAAAGACUGACUCUCUUGUCUUCACCUAGUAGAUGCCUUCUUAGAUCUCAGCUAACUCUUUCAAGAUUUAUUUCCCUUAUUUCUCACUUUCAAGACUCUGUAUACCCACACUUCAUACUGUAUGCCUAGGGCACAACUUUAUUUUUUAUUUAAGUGACUGUUUGAUUUAUAUCAAUUUUACUUUUUAGACUGUAAGUGCUAUGAGAAUAGAUGCCUAGGCUUUUUUUUUAAUUAUUACUUUUUACUUCCCACUCUCUUACCAGUGCCUUUUGUUAUAGUGUUAGAGAAUAAGGAACUGUGACUCCUAGGUAUUUGAAUUUCAGUAAGAUAAAAAAUAGAUACGGUGACAUUAAUGGAGAAAUUUGAAAGAUUGUCUCAGGAAAAACAAUCAAACCUAUUUGCUAACCUUUUCCCUAUAAGAAUUUUUCAGCAUAAUGCAAAAUUAUUGUGAGGAAUAUAAUUUCUGAUAUCUUGUAAAAAUUAUUAUUUAAGAUUAAACCAUAGCAUCACAUUUUCAGUAAUGGCAAAUAAAACUUGAAUAUCAUAAUGAGUUUAUAUUCAUCAUCAUUC
rnacentral:lncRNA from 1 species